rnacentral:ncRNA from 1 species
UGGAUAUGUCAUGCUGGCGGACGCGACGGCUUCGGGAGGAAGCCGGUGCGAAUCCGGCGCGGUCCCGCCACUGUCACCGGGAAGUGCGUCUUCCUGGAUGGGCCCACCGGCGCGACGCGGCGCGGGAGGACACAUCCGGUGAUCGUCGCGCCCGGGCCGGGAAUGAUCUCCCGAUGCCGGGUGGGGCGACGGGUCACGGCCGCGUCAGGCGGCUGGAAGGCCGAGGGCGCGCGCCGAUCCGGGAGCCAGGAUACUCCGGCCGUCGCAGGGUGAUCACCA